GAUGAACGCUAGCUACAGGCUUAACACAUGCAAGUCGAGGGGCAGCGGGAUUGAAGCUUGCUUCAAUUGCCGGCGACCGGCGCACGGGUGAGUAACGCGUAUCCAACCUUCCGUACACUCAGGGAUAGCCUUUCGAAAGAAAGAUUAAUACCUGAUGGUAUGAUGAGAUCGCAUGGUAUCAUCAUUAAAGAUUUAUCGGUGUACGAUGGGGAUGCGUUCCAUUAGGUAGUAGGCGGGGUAACGGCCCACCUAGCCUACGAUGGAUAGGGGUUCUGAGAGGAAGGUCCCCCACAUUGGAACUGAGACACGGUCCAAACUCCUACGGGAGGCAGCAGUGAGGAAUAUUGGUCAAUGGACGAGAGUCUGAACCAGCCAAGUAGCGUGCAGGAUGACGGCCCUAUGGGUUGUAAACUGCUUUUGACGAGGGUAAACGCAGAUACGUGUAUCUGUCUGAAAGUAUCGUACGAAUAAGGAUCGGCUAACUCCGUGCCAGC
rnacentral:rRNA from 1 species